GACGAACGCUGGCGGCGUGCUUAACGCAUGCAAGUCGAACGGAAAGGCCCUUCGGGGUACUCGAGUGGCGAACGGGUGAGUAACACGUGGGUGAUCUGCCCUGCACUUUGGGAUAAGCCUGGGAAACUGGGUCUAAUACCGAAUAGGACCACGCGCUUCAUGGUGUGUGGUGGAAAGCUUUUGCGGUGUGGGAUGGGCCCGCGGCCUAUCAGCUUGUUGGUGGGGUAAUGGCCUACCAAGGCGACGACGGGUAGCCGGCCUGAGAGGGUGACCGGCCACACUGGGACUGAGAUACGGCCCAGACUCCUACGGGAGGCAGCAGUGGGGAAUAUUGCACAAUGGGCGCAAGCCUGAUGCAGCGACGCCGCGUGAGGGAUGACGGCCUUCGGGUUGUAAACCUCUUCCACCAGGGACGAAGCGUAAGUGACGGUACCUGGAGAAGAAGCACCGGCCAACUACGUG
rnacentral:rRNA from 1 species